rnacentral:rRNA from 1 species
UGCGUAGGUGGCGUGGUAAGUCAGAUGUGAAAGCCCGGGGCUCAACCUCGGAAUUGCAUCCGAUACUGCCAUGCUAGAGUACUGAAGAGGUGACUAGAAUUCUCGGUGUAGCAGUGAAAUGCGUAGAUAUCGAGAGGAAUACCAACGGCGAAGGCAGGUCACUGGGCAGUUACUGACACUGAGGCACGAAGGCCAGGGGAGCAAACG